CCUUGUUUGCGUCACCACCAUGUGAUGGACGUUCUGCGUCAUUACGUAAUGGACUUCGCUGGAUCCUUGGGCUGGAAGGGGCUUCCUAGUGAGAGGCCUUCACAGGUUCCCCAGACCAGGUCUUUCUCCUCCUUUCCUGGGAAUGAAGAAAAUAUUUCACAUUUCAGCAGCCACCUUACAGUCUAAGAGGAGGCACUCCCUAAAGACGGUGGAACACAAAGCCAGAAGAAAUGCAGAGGAGCCUCAGGAGAGAAGUCGUCUGUGGAAUGUAAGGCUAUUGAAUGGAGAUGAUUGUACUUGAACAAGAAUGAAUGAAUGAAUAAAUACAAGGAAGCUGACUGUCAAGUUUCAUCCAUUUUUGCCCAUUCUUAAAAAAAGAAGUCACCAGGAUGGCACUGUGAGAAGACUUCCAGGCCUCUCCCUGUGAUUUUACAACAAGCUGGGCAACUAUAAUUCAACGAAAGCUUCCCUGCUCAACACACAAACACAUCUGAGAGAUCUGCGCAUUGAGACAUCUGGAGCCUUGUACCUCACCAUGAAAAACAGAAUUACCGCCUUUUAAAAAUUUGAAAACUUCUGAGCUCCAAAACGUGUCUGCUCUCAAGAGAUUUGGAUGAGGAGAGGCGGGCCUGCAGAAUGCUGAGUCCUACCCGAUGCAGAGAAGAUGAGAAUGGGAGGGUAUAAUGCUGCGGAAAAUAGACACCGCACCAUCACCAUCUCCAAGGAUGCUGUGUGUUAACUGGAAAACCAUGAGAAUCAACUGAAAGGCAAUUAGGCCUUCUCCAAGACUCCUGGGUACAGCAGGUCUGACUCCGGACAGCAGCCUGGUGAUGGAGGAGCCGUGGCCUCUCUGCAGACUCUUUGGUCCAGCCCGCCGACCUGAUCCUGUUCUCCUGGCUGGAUUCCGCCUCUCGUUGUCCCUGCUCUCGCCUCUAGUACCUGUUUUCUCAUUGUUUCUGGAACACUGCCCCCUGUGUCUUUAUAAAUGCCAACUUUGGUCUUUUUUUUGAAAUGACAUUCAGACAGCUUUGUUGAAACUUUACCUACAGAGCGAUUGCAUGGCACAUCAUAUAAAUAACGUCAAAAAUCGUAGAAACAGAAUGGCACAGCUGUGCCUAUACUCCCAGAGAAGCCGUUGAGUUUUGGUGACAUUUAAAACCUGAACAGUGACUAAUGAGGCAUCUGGGGUAUACACUCUGAAUCAUACAGAGCCAUUCAUUGUUUCUGUACCAGGUAAAGCUGAAGCAGUGGGAACUGUUUUGUGUGGUGCAUGUUUGGGUUCCACACAUGAGCCCAAAUAUGGUCAUAGAAAGAAUUUGUUCGGCGAGGCCACCUGCCGAGUUCUGAAAUCUUUUCUUCCUUCCUCUUUUUCUCCUCCCUCCCCACCUUUUUUCCUUAUAGUUCAGUUUUCUCAUCUUAAAAAUGGGUACAAUAAUAGUAUAUUCCUUAUAGGGUUGUUACAAGAUUAAACAAGUUGAUAUAUUUUAAGCUCUUUGACAUAUUUUAAGGCCUGGCUCAAAGUAAAAGUUUUUUUUUUAAUUUUUAUUUUAUUGAUUAUGCCAUUACAUUUGCUCUAUUCCCCUCCACCCUGCACCCCUCCACCAUUCCCCCCCUUUAGUUUAUGACCAUGUGUUUUUUAAGUAUCUAAUUAUUGUUGACGCCAACUCUCUGUCAGGAUCUAUUCCAGGAGCUAUGGACACAAACAUGAAACCCACCAGCCUUGCUCUUAUCCAUGUAGAUACUUAUCUUUGCAGGACGUGCUGUUCCGAGGCUUGGACUCCUGCAUCAGUGGUCUGGGUUGGAGAGCCAGCUCCGUCCCAUUACUUAUUAACUAUUACAUGACAAGGAACUUAAUCUCUCAAUCUUAGUUUCCUCCCAUGAGGAGGACAAUAAUUUGUCUCAUUUGUUAUAAGGAAUAAAGGAUAUAAGAUGAGUGAAAAACUUAGAAUCAGAGUAAGCAAUCAAUACUGAGUUCCUUAAUGUUCAGGUACUUCUGAUUGCAGGUCCUCGACAGGACUUCCCAUUAGGGCCUUCAUGCUUACGGACGGGCAGGGCAGCGUGUGGCACUCACUGAGUAGCUCUGGAUCUGGAAGUUUCUCACCCGGAUCUUUCUUUCCUAAGGUGUUUGUUCUAGGUGGUCCAGAGGGACCACACAGAGGGGACAGAGGCUCUGCCACCAGACUGCCUGGUUAACCUCUCAAAUUGUUUUCCCAUCUGUGACCUCAGUAUAAUGAUGACAAUCACUAACUCACAGUUAUGGCAAGAGUCAACUAAGAUAAUCGAGCCAAGGAGCUCAGUGCGGCAAACAAGCCUCACAUGUAGGAAGAGUUCUCUUUUGUUGGCAGUUACUCUCACUGUUGUAAUUUUUUUAUUAGGGUUUGAUUCUUUGCAGGAAAAAAGCUUGUCUGCCACUGUCCUUAUUUAUUUCUAGUGUGACUCUAGCCUAAGCAACACAGGAUGCCGCCGAUAAUUACCAUUUAUUAAGCACCAGGCACUUUCCCUGUAUGAUCUAAUUUUAUUCCAAAUGGUAACCCUGUGAAGCAGGUAUUAGUUUCCCCUUUAGCCGUGAAAAAAAAAAAAAAACUAGCCUCAGAUUAAAUAACUUGCCCAAGAUCAUAGAUGUAGGAUUAAAACCAAACUAAUAUGACUUUAAGUUACUGGGCCCCCAAAACGAGAGUGAAUUUUUUAAAAAAUUAGGAAGAACCAAAGAAGCUCCCAACAAUGAUCUCAACUAAAAGGAAAACUCCACAAAUCCUUCUAGGACCACACAGAAAUAAUACUAUAAAAAUGCAAAUAUUAAACCACAGCCUAAGCUUAUUUUCCCCAAUGUCCUUGCCACAUCCCAGCGUACACAUCAAAUGCUAAUAUUUUAAAACCUAAUAGUCAACGUAGUUCAAACAGUUUUGACCUCAUUUAAAUUGUCAGAUAGAAGAAGAUUCUAAUGCACAGACAAGAGAGCAAUCAAAACUUGCAUAUAGAGAGUUUGGGAAACAUCUGAAUACAAAUCACUUCCAAACACAGGCUUCUCUUAUCGCUGAUUGUCGAAGAAGCAGAACCUUAGACCUCCCUGGUGCUGCAGUAAUAAAGAAGGAAAGCGUUCACGCUCUCAAUGAUUAAAGCAUUUAACACACAGAGUCAGCACUGGAGAGAAAGUCUGGUCUUCAUUAUACCAAAUGUUAUGCAAUGCAAUGAAUAUAACCUCCCGUAGAUUUUACUAAACAUUCAAGCUCUUCAAUUUACAUUAUUUUAUUCAAUAAUUAAUUCAAAUUUAUUUGAAUUCACCUUGCAUUUACUAAAGGAGAAAAAAAUACCCCACAAUCCUCAUAAUAAAUGAAAAGGCAUAGUUAACAAGAUAAUUUAAUGGAUCUUAAUAAUAUCAAGGUGGAGUGAAGGUGAAGAUCAAUUCACCCUGAAGUCACAACACUUAGUGGCCAAAUAUUUUAUGGAGAGCAAUUGUAUUCAUAAUUAGAAGAUAAUAAGAUUGUUGUUUGCAUAUGCCUUUCAGCUUAAGUUAUGGUCAUGUAAUAUCUCACAAUUUUUUGGUUCAUACUCAAAACAUUUUAUAGAAUGUAAAGUAGCCCAUAAACUAUAGCAUUUGUCAUGAUGCUUUCAUACAGGCAUCCAAAGAAAGUGGUUGACUGGCUGAAGGGGGUUGGAAACUUU